GACGAACGCUGGCGGCGUGCUUAACACAUGCAAGUCGAACGAAAAGGCCCUGCUUUUGUGGGGUGCUCGAGUGGCGAACGGGUGAGUAACACGUGAGUAACCUGCCCUUGACUUUCGGAUAACUUCAGGAAACUCGGGCUAAUACCGGAUAGGAGCUCCUGCUGCAUGGUGGUGGUUGGAAAGAGUCGGCGGUUUGGGCUGGUCUCGCGGCUUAUCAGCUUGUUGGUGUGGUAGUGGAUUACCAAGGCUUUGACGGCUAGCCGGCCUGAGAGGGAGGCCGGCCACAUAGGGCCUGAGAUAGGGCCAAGAGUCAUACGGGAGGCAGGAGUGGGGAAUAUUGGGCAAUGGGCGGAGGCAGGGAGGAGCAACGCCGCGUGGGGGAUGACGGCUAUCGGGGAGUAAACCGCGUUCGCCUGUGACGGAGCGUGAGUGACGGUAAUGGGUAAAGAAGCACCGGCUACCUACGG
rnacentral:rRNA from 1 species